GACGAACGCUGGCGGCGUGCCUAACACAUGCAAGUCGAACGGAACUGUUUUGAAAGAUUUCUUCGGAAUGAAUUUGAUUUCGUUUAGUGGCGGACGGGUGCGUAACGCGUGAGUAACCUGCCUUCAAGAUGGGAAUAACAUUCUGAAAAGAAUGCUAAUCCCGCAUGACAUAUCGGAACCACAUGGUUUUUAUAUCAAAGAUUUUAUCGCUUGAAGAUGGACUCGCGUCCGAUUAGUUAGUUGGUGAGGUAACGGCUCACCAAGACCGCGAUCGGUAGCCGGACUGAGAGGUUGAACGGCCACAUUGGGACUGAGACACGGCCCAGACUCCUACGGGAGGCAGCAGUGGGGGAUAUUGCGCAAUGGGGGAAACCCUGACGCAGCAACGCCGCGUGAAGGAUGAAGGUUGUCGGAGUGUAAACUUCUUUUAUUAAGGACGAAAAAUGACGGUACUUAAUGAAUAAGCUCCGGCUAACUACGUG
rnacentral:rRNA from 1 species